rnacentral:rRNA from 1 species
GGAAUAUUGCACAAUGGGCGCAAGCCUGAUGCAGCCAUGCCGCGUGUAUGUAGAAGGCCUUCGGGUUGUAAAGUACUUUCAGCGGGGAGGAAGGGGGCGAGGUUAAUAACCUCGUUCAUUGACGUUACCCGCAGAAGAAGCACCGGCUAACUCCGUGCCAGCAGCCGCGGUAAUACGGAGGGUGCAAGCGUUAAUCGGAAUUACUGGGCGUAAAGCGCACGCAGGCGGUCUGUUAAGUCAGAUGUGAAAUCCCCGGGCUUAACCUGGGAACUGCAUUUGAAACUGGCAGGCUUGAGUCUUGUAGAGGGGGGUAGAAUUCCAGGUGUAGCGGUGAAAUGCGUAGAGAUCUGGAGGAAUACCGGUGGCGAAGGCGGCCCCCUGGACAAAGACUGACGCUCAGGUGCGAAAGCGUGGGGAGCAAACAGGAUUAGAUACCCUUG